rnacentral:rRNA from 1 species
AACGGUAGCUAAUACCGCAUAAUGUCGCAAGACCAAAGUGGGGGACCUUCGGGCCUCAUGCCAUCAGAUGUGCCCAGAUGGGAUUAGCUAGUAGGUGGGGUAACGGCUCACCUAGGCGACGAUCCCUAGCUGGUCUGAGAGGAUGACCAGCCACACUGGAACUGAGACACGGUCCAGACUCCUACGGGAGGCAGCAGUGGGGA